GCUGUGUCCUUCCCCUUGUUAGCAUAUAUUGGCAAAAAUUAAUAUGAAAUAAUGAUAUUUUAGAUAGACUGAUAUACCACAACGUUAUCAGUCUCUCAGAAAUUUAGAAAGCAAUCUCACAUUUUUAGCCUGUAUAUAACUUUAAUAAAUAUACCAUCUUUAGUUUAUUUUCUGAAAAUUUAUAUUAUGUAUACUGUACUAUUAUAAAUUUAUAUACAGUAAGCUAUACAAUUGAAAUAACAGCAUUACUAUUUUCCAAUUUUUAAUAUGUCUCUAGUGAGUUUUUCUGCAACAAUUCUUCUAAAUGCAUCUAGGAAUGUGUGUUUAUCUACAAGAUGUAACUGAAGUAGUGAUUAUCAGGUUUUGGUUCUUAAAAAGGAUAAAAUAUAUUAGCUGGUUCUGUCGAGAUCUUCUGACUGCUGCUAAAACAUUGAAUCACCAACUAAACAUCCUGAAUCACUCUCUAAGCAUUUGGUGGGACUAUAAAUAUAGUUCUAAUUCUCUGAAGGAAUUCUAUAUAUCAGUGAUAAAGAUCAGUUAAUUACUAAUUUGUCGUUAAUUAAAUUCUUAAAUCUUUCUAAUUAUCCAAAACUAACUUUUUAAUAAUUUAGAACAUACUUGUAAUAAUCAUUAUAUAUGUAAAAUCAUUGUUUAAUAGAAGCAAAAAAUCGAAAUAAUGAUAAUGCUGAAAUUACUUGCUCUUGUGUUUUCCAGAUUUACUAAGUCGUCACUUAAUUGCUUUUAUUUCUUCUACGUGAAUGACGAGUAUUCAAUUUCAACGAUGUUAUUUAAGUGUGUCUUCAGAUUCCAGGAAUUUGAUCUGAACGUUAAUUCCUUUCCAGUUUUCAAGAUAAUUUUUCUUAAACGCCAUUUAAUUUUUUCACUUUUAAGGGGUACAUAUUUUUGUCUUUAUUAUUUUAGCGCGUUGGGUAGUUCAACCUAAUAAAAAAAAACAAGCUAGACAUAAUUUUUACUUUAUCGUGCCAUUAUAUAGUAUUCAUCUCUGAUGCUGAGAUUAUGAGCGUGCUAAAAAAAUGCUUCAAGUGGAACCGAUGAUGCUAUUUAAAAUAAUGAUGAUAAAAGGAAAAAAAGUGCUGUUAUUCAUAAUUGCUAUUAUCCGUUCUAUUGAAAAUCAGUCGUUAAUUUACAAUAUUUGUUUUAUCUUUAUGUGAAACUGUCUGGGUAUUUCUGGCAAAUAUAUAAAUUUUUAAAUUGUCCUGACGUCAUCUAUUAUACCGCCAUUGUUACAUCAUAAUAACGUCAAACAUUGAUGGCAUAUUGUGACAUCAUUCACUGUUAUGUCACGAUGAUGCCAUAUCGAUGCGACGGUGAUGUAUGUAUCUUUGGGAUCCUAUGACCAAUUCCAGAUUUAUUAUCACAACAAUUAUCUGACUUAUCCGGGAUUAAGCACGUAUUUUUAUUGUUAUCUUAAAAUGCCCAAUAUCUGAGAUAGUUUUGAAUCAAUUAGGACACCCUAUGUUACCUUUAGGGUCUUAAGAAGUUAAUCUACAAAGUUUGGUUCCGAUAGAUCAAAGGUUGUGAAAAAUGGAAAGACAGAUAUUCUCUUGUAAACCGAUAGUUGCCAAUUUUGUUAAUGCAAGCUAUUUUUAUGGGACAACGCGAAUAAAUUUAUUGAUUCCAUCAAAGAAAAACCACUCGAGCUAGUAGAACCACUCACACAUAAAAACAAAGUAACUAAAUUCAAAAUAUAUGACGUUCAGAGUACAAAGUUUAGAAAUAUAAAACACGAUGAUCAAAAAUAAUAAGCAGCGAAUUAACUACUAAAAUAUUAAGCUAUCUGUUAAAUAAUGUACUGUAUUUAUACUUUAAAAAAUAGUUACCAUUCAAAAUUUAGUAUGUAUAUAUACAGUAAAAAUUUAUUCGAAUAUUCUAACUACUAAUAAACUUAAAAAAAAAAAAAAAAAUAGAUUAAUGCAAGUUAUAAUAAAAAAAAUAGUUAGAGAGGUGAAAUGA
rnacentral:lncRNA from 1 species